UACGUAGGGGGCUAGCGUUGUCCGGAUUCAUUGGGCGUAAAGAGCGUGUAGGCGGUUCAAUAGGUCCGGUGUGAAAACUCGAGGCUCAACCUCGAGAGGUCGCCGGAAACCAUUGAGCUAGAGUCCGGAAGAGGAGAGUGGAAUUCCUGGUGUAGCGGUGAAAUGCGCAGAUAUCAGGAAGAACACCCAUGGCGAAGGCAGCUCUCUGGGACGGUACUGACGCUGAGACGCGAAAGCGUGGGGAGCGAACAGGAUUAGAUACCCUGGUAGUCCACGCCGUAAACGAUGGGCACUAGGUGUGGGUGGUGUCGACUCCAUCCGUGCCGAAGCUAACGCAUUAAGUGCCCCGCCUGGGGAGUACGGCCGCAAGGCUA
rnacentral:rRNA from 1 species